UCUAAAUCGAGUUAUUGGAGCAUAGAUAUAUAGGACUAAUAUCAAACCCAGAAAAUUGAAUAUCUGUAUCGAUUCUACAACCCUUGAUCUCAGGCGAAGAGAGUCGAAUCGAACAAGACUGUUGCUGAGUUACGCAAUCUGCCACUGGAAUAGGUGGUUGGGUUUGAAUCUAUGGCGUUCAACUGUUGCUGUGAUUGGUCGUCUAAGUUGCCCGAUGAGUUGACGGUGGAGAUACUAUGUAGAUUGCCAGAAAAGCCUCUGAUUCAAUUCAAGUCCGUGUCGAAAGCUUGGUACUUAUUGAUUUCUGAUGUUUGCGUUCCCAGAAUCUCUUCAUCCGCACCUCUCUCCGGAUUUCUCUUCAGGUUGAUUCCCCUUCUUCCAUUCUCCGAUUUCCUUAUGGAAUAUGUUCCAUCAGAUUGUCCGAGAACCCUGCUGGACAGAGGACGAUUUGUGGAGUCGUAUUCGAAGCUAUUACCCUUUCAACCUACUGCCAGGGAUGUUCUCGACUGCUGCAACGGUUUGCUCUUAAUUCUUCACCGCAGCUCUGUUCCUCCCUCUGUUCCUUCACAGUAUUAUGUGUGUAACCCUGCCACAAAACAAUGUGUGGCUAUUCCCGUGAACCCUAAUCAUCUAGAUCCAAUAUAUGCUGUACUUGCUUUUAAUCCUGUUGAGUCCCCACCGAAUAAUACUAAUAAUAAUAAUUAUAAAAUAGUUCGGUUAGCUAGCUCUACCAGCACUGCCUCUGUAACUCAUCCGCCGGAGCUGGAUGUUUUCUCCUCCGUUACUGGCAAGUGGGUCAACCAUCCGGUUCCACUCCAGCCUGAACCUGAGCUUUAUGGUUUCAAGUGGCUUUUCAAGUCUGUUUAUUUGGAUGGGGUGUUGUACAUGUUAUCUUACAGUAGAUACCUCUUGUGUUUUGAUCUCAAUGCCGAUAAUUUGAAUCCCCGAGCUGUGAAGCUCCCGAACAAGGGCAAGGCUCUUGGUGUUGGAUUCAUUGGGAUGUCCAAAGAUUGCUUCUAUUACUCUAAUCAUGUUGAAAAUGCAGUCCUUGUUUGGUCACUUGACCAUGACCAUAAGUGGAUUUUGAAGCAUAGCAUCUGCAUUGAUGACUUGGUUCGGUUUCAUCACGGCAGAAUUUUAGACCGCUAUCGCCUUUCUCCACUGCUCGUGCCUUGUGCUUUACAUCCAACUUCAGAAGUUAUCUUCAUUGCUAUUCCCAGAUUGAUAUUCAGCUAUAAUCUGAAAACCAAUCAGUUCAAUGUAUUUUACAUACUGCAAGAAAACAGGAAUUUGAUUGAUGAUGGAUGUUUCUUCUUUCCUUACUCACGCUGCCUGGUUGUUUUGAAUGAUUUUACGCAGGAUAUUAGCAUUUUCUAAUAACACUUUUAAAGGCUGGAAGGUUCUAACAUGACUUGAAUUUGGGAGGUUAGUUUUCUUGAAUGCUUCUUUCUUUUGUAUUUGUAGACCUGAAGUGGUGUAGCUGGUUUUGAAUGCCAGGGAGGAGAGAAAAGGGGUUUGGGCGAGAUUAUUUACCUACUUCAGUAUCAUUAUGGGCCUUUCUUUAAGAUUUUACUUGUCUAUUUCUUUGAUCUUCCCUGUUCUUGAUUGGUUUUGGAUGAUGUCUUGGCCUCUAUAUUUCAUUUUUUGUUUCCAGUGGAGUGCAUUCUUGUUCGAAAAGGGUGACCUAAGGAAUAAAACACAACAAAACAUCAACUUUGGUAAAUUGCGUUACCAAUCCUUCAUUGCUGCUGAUAUAUGUGGUUUACUUGAAAAUUUAUAUAUACGUUUCCUUCCUUUGAUAGAUAUAGAGAAUGUUCCGCUUGAUGGAGAGGAGCAGUAGAAAAAUCAUCAUUAUGGAGGAAAAAUAAUAAAUGAAUAGUUGAGGUAAUUUGAACUGAGUAAUCUAGAAUGUUGCAAGAAGAGGCAUACCUCCCGUCAAAAGUGUAGAAGAGAAAGGCAGUUAUUAUAAAAAGAAUAAAAGAAAGAAUAGAAAUGGGUCUUAGGACCGUGUUUGGUGUGAGAGAGCUAAUGGAUGUGCUAUAAGAUCUACGAAUUUAUUGUAGGUGAGGUGUAAAUUUAAUUUACUUGUGUGGCAUAUUACAAUUGCAUCCGUGAAGAAUUGAGAAAGCGCAGUAACUAAUGUUUUAUGAGGAAUUUUAGUGAGGUAAGUGAUAAUGUCAUAGGAAUUUAGUUACUUCCAAGAUAUAUGUUGAAACUAUGAACUGUAGGAAAAGCAUUUGUGAGAAAGUAGCUUUGUAAGAAAGCCAAUACCUUGCGGUGUAUAUAAGUGGUUGUGCUCUGCAAUUGUGAAGCGGGAUAUUGUAAAACAAUACAAAUUCCUCAAUUGUUAAUAAACCUUGACGUUGAGUGAUUGCGUGAUAUUUGCGGUCACCAAUCUAUCUCUAGCCUCCAAGCUACAGGACCUAGAGUCACACUAAGUGUGCCAGAGACUUUGGUGUGCCUAAGUUUCACAGGGCAACUCUUUUUCACAAGGCCAGUUCCCUGUGAGGUGCUUGUACUCCACCAAGUCCAAGUCCACCUAAACCUUUCGACCAUCUGACUGUUGAAUGUUCACCUGUCUUGGCAACUGUAGGCCAUGCCUUAUUUGGCAAGAGCUACUCCCUUGAAAUUGCAUAUCAUAUAGGUGAUUGUUAUGGAAGUUUACAAUCUUCAUUCAUGCUUUGAUUGUUGUUAUUUUUCGUUUAAAUGAUAAAAUGAUUCUAGCAUUUUUAUCUGUUGCAUCUUCAAUGCUGCAAUGAGAGACGUACACUUGAAAGUGCCCUGAAUUUAAUGUUUUGGCAGGUAAAAAUAGAUUGCUAAAUAUCAGAAGUUCUUGUGUAUUUAUGACUUAUUUGAAAAAACAUUGGACUACAAAUUGGUGAAUAGUGGCUACAUUCGAUCUACUAGAUGAAUGAUAUCCCAAGGAACAAGGGUUUAGAGGUUGGGGUUACCAUCUAAUGGUCCUGAUCAAAUCCCCAUUCAUACUGGAUUUGCCAAACUAGUUUCAUGGUGGUGCUACUUGGAUGUAAUUGUAUAAAUUAUCUGGCAGGCUCCAAUAUUUACAUGAGCGCUCAAAUGUACGAUUUUGUCCUUGGUGUUAUUUAACAUUAUAUAUUUUGACCUUUAUUUUAAUUCCUGCUUUUUUCUUUUAAGGAGAAUAUUAUCAUAUCUCUCAUUAGAGGCGUAGAACAUUCAAUUGCCUUCCCUGGGAUUCAGUA